rnacentral:rRNA from 1 species
GAUGAACGCUGGCGGCGUGCCUAAUACAUGCAAGUCGAGCGAACAGACGAGGAGCUUGCUCCUUUGACGUUAGCGGCGGACGGGUGAGUAACACGUAGGUAACCUACCUAUAAGACUGGGAUAACUUCGGGAAACCGGAGCUAAUACCGGAUAAUAUUUCGAACCGCAUGGUUCGAUAGUGAAAGAUGGCUUUGCUAUCACUUAUAGAUGGACCUGCGCCGUAUUAGCUAGUUGGUAAGGUAACGGCUUACCAAGGCAACGAUACGUAGCCGACCUGAGAGGGUGACGGCCCACACGGAAACUGAGCCACGGCCCAGACUCAUACGGGAGGCGCAAGUGGGAAAUCUUCCGCAAUGGGCGAAAGCCUGACGGAGCAACGCCGCGGGGGUGAGAAAGUUCUUGGGAACAUAAAACUUGUUUAUGGGGAAAAAACAAACUUGAAAGAAACUGUGCCCGCCUGGACGGUACCUAAUAAAAAACCCACGGCUAACUACGUC